rnacentral:rRNA from 1 species
CCUACGGGAGACAGCAGUGAGGAAUAUUGGUCAAUGGGCGCGAGCCUGAACCAGCCAUGCCGCGUGAAGGGCAGAGGCCUACGGGCGUUAAACUUCUUUUGUGCGGGAGCAAGAAUGGUCACGUGUGGCCAGACGAGAGUACCGUACGAAUAAGCAUCGGCUAACUCCGUGCCAGCAGCCGCGGUAAUACGGGGGAUGCAAGAGUUAGCCGGAUUUAUUGGGUUUAAAGGGUGCGGAGGCUGGGAGGUAAGUCAGCGGUGAAAUGCCCCCGCUCAACGGGGUGAAGUGCCAUUGAUACUGCCUUGCUGGACUGCGGCUGCCGUGGGCGGAAUGUGUGGUGUAGCGG